rnacentral:rRNA from 1 species
ACUCCUACGGGAGGCAGCAGUGGGGAAUAUUGGACAAUGGGCGCAAGCCUGAUCCAGCCAUGCCGCGUGGGUGAAGAAGGCCUUCGGGUUGUAAAGCCCUUUUGCCCGGAAAGAAAAGCAUCGGAUUAAUACUUCGGUGUUCUGACGGUACCGGAAGAAUAAGCACCGGCUAACUUCGUGCCAGCAGCCGCGGUAAU